rnacentral:rRNA from 1 species
CCUACGGGGAGCUGCAGUGAGGAAUAUUGGUCAAUGGGCUUACGCCUGAACCAGCCAAGUCGCGUGAGGGAAGACUGCCCUAUGGGUUGUAAACCUCUUUUGUCAGGGAGCAAUUGGCGCUACGUGUAGCGUUAUCGAGAGUACCUGAAGAAAAAGCAUCGGCUAACUCCGUGCCAGCAGCCGCGGUAAUACGGAGGAUGCGAGCGUUAUCCGGAUUUAUUGGGUUUAAAGGGUGCGUAGGCGGAAUGCCAAGUCAGCGGUAAAAUCGCGGGGCUCAACCUCGCUCCGCCGUUGAAACUGGCGGUCUUGAGUGGGCGAGAAGUAUGCGGAAUGCGUGGUGUAGCGGUGAAAUGCAUAGAUAUCACGCAGAACUCCGAUUGCGAAGGCAGCAUACCGGCGCCCAACUGACGCUGAAGCACGAAAGCGUGGGUAUCGAACAGGAUUAGAUACCCGUGUAGUC